GCCAGCGACGAUAUCUCUUUGAAUGUACCAGUUACCAAUAGAUCACUGAAGUUAAGCUGUGUUCCGCGUGGUUGGUAUCUGAAUGGGUGACAAUCGGGGCAUUCGCAGGCUGCAGUCU
rfam:Asian citrus Psyllid, Diaphorina citri - Florida Strain, whole genome shotgun sequence.